UGUUACAGUGUGUUUGUUCCUCGGUUCGCCUGCCUAAUUUAUGCCUUGUGUUUUGUUUCAUGGUUUUAGUUAUUUUGGUAUUAUUCUAUGUUUGUUUCCUGGCCCAUCUUGCUCCCUUUGUUUUGUAGUUUUACCCAGUGUGUACAAUUUCCCCGAUAUACCCUUGUUUGUCUCAGAACCGCAAGUGGAUUGUCCCCUUCCUUUUCCCACCUGUGCCAUAACAGAACAGCAGACUCAAAAAGACUAUCCCCAGACUCUGGUACAACCCUCAGCCCUUCUCCAGUUUUGAACCCAGUUGAUACCCAGAUAAGAGGCAACAUUUCAAAGGCUGGUUCAGGAACAUGGUGCUUGAUAGUUAGACACGGAAGCAGCAGGCCUGCCAUUGCUGGAUUUGCCCAUUGGGUUUUGACGUGGCUACAGUGCAGAAGCCAGGAAAGAAGAUGAGGCCUCCAUCACCCAUCAGCAUGCAGGGAAGGAGGUCCCUCACAUCACCACGUGUUCUGGGACGAGCUUAGGAACUACAGAGGAGGCCCAUGGCCGAAGAUGACAGCGGUGGUCCGUGAUUGUUUACCACAACAGCUGGCCUCUCCUAACUUUGUGACGCAUAGUGUCAGGAUUUCAACAUUAAUGUGAUUUACUGUGGGGAGUGAAAGGGCAAUCUCUAUUUCGAUGUGCUGUAUUUCAUGUCAGUAAAUCGAAGCCAUAUUCUGUGGUUUACAGUAAGCUGUCUAUAUAGAAGGUGAAUGUAUGGAUGUGUAAGGUGAAGUAUAGGAUACAGGCUGGCGUUGUGUGAUACCUGACCAUGCCAGAGAAGCCACGCUCACCUGAACGAGAGUUCAUAGAAACGAACUGUCAAAGAAAUAGACAGAAAUGUCCUGAAUCAUGUGGAUUUAAUUGCUACAGAAUGAGACACAAAUAAGACAGCGCUGGGUUAAGUCGAAUUCUAUCAGUAGCUUUAAUCAGCUUGUCAUUGUAUGGGAAAUUGAACACCUCAAUAUUAA